rnacentral:rRNA from 1 species
GAGUUUGAUCGUGGCUCAGAUUGAACGCUGGCGGCAUGCCUUACACAUGCAAGUCGAACGGUAACAGGUCUUCGGAUGCUGACGAGUGGCGAACGGGUGAGUAAUACAUCGGAACGUGCCCAGACGUGGGGGAUAACGAGGCGAAAGCUUUGCUAAUACCGCAUACGAUCUAAGGAUGAAAGCAGGGGACCGCAAGGCCCUGCGCGUUUGGAGCGGCCGAUGGCAGAUUAGGUAGUUGGUGGGAUAAAAGCUUACCAAGCCGACGAUCUGUAGCUGGUCUGAGAGGACGACCAGCCACACUGGGACUGAGACACGGCCCAGACUCCUACGGGAGGCAGCAGGUGGGGUAAUUUUGGACAAGUGGGCGAAAGGCCUGAUCCGAGCAAUGCCGCGUGCAGGAUGAA